UUCGCCCUUUUCCGGUUGAUCCUGCCGGACCUGACUGCUAUCGGAUUGAUACUAAGCCAUGCGAGUCUCUGUAGCAAUACAAGGCAGACGGCUCAGUAACGCGUAGUCAACCUACCCUAUGGACGGGAAUAACCUCGGGAAACUGAGUAUAAUGCCCGAUAGAACACUAUACCUGGAAGGGUUUGUGUUCCAAAUGAUUUAUCGCCGUAGGAUGGGACUGCGGCCUAUCAGUUUGUUGGUGGGGUAAUGGCCCACCAGGACUAUUACAGGUACGGGCUCUGAGAGGAGUGGCCCGGAGAUGGGUACUGAGACACGGACCCAGGCCCUAUGGGGCGCAGCAGGCGAGAAAACCUUGCAAUGUGCGAAAGCACGACAAGGUUAAUCCGAGUGAUUUGUGCUAAACGAAUCUUUUGUUAGUCAUAGAACCACUAACGAAUAAGGGGUGGGCAAGUUCUGGUGUCAGCCGCCGCGGUAAAACCAGCACCUCAAGUGGUCAGGAUGAUUAUUGGGCCUAAAGCAUCCGUAGCCGGCUCUGUAAGUUUUCGGUUAAAUCUGUACGCUCAACGUACAGGCUGCCGGGAAUACUGCAGAGCUAGGGAGUGGGAGAGGUAGACGGUACUCGGUAGGAA
rnacentral:rRNA from 1 species